CCUACGGGUGGCAGCAGUGAGGAAUAUUGGUCAAUGGCCGGAAGGCUGAACCAGCCAAGCCGCGUGAAGGACGAAGGUGCCAAGCAUUGUAAACUUCUUUUGUCAAGGGACAAAAUCAGGCUCGAGAGCCUGACCGAGGGUACUUGAAGAAAAAGCAUCGGCUAACUCCGUGCCAGCAGCCGCGGUAAUACGGAGGAUGCGAGCGUUAUCCGGAUUUAUUGGGUUUAAAGGGUGCGUAGGCGGACUGUUAAGUCAGCGGUAAAAGCCCGGGGCUCAACCCCGGCGAGCCGUUGAAACUGGCUGUCUUGAGAUGUCGAGAGGUAUGCGGAAUGCGCAGUGUAGCGGUGAAAUGCGUAGAUAUAUGGAAGAACACCAGUGGCGAAAGCGGCUCUCUGGUCUGUAACUGACGCUGAGGUUCGAAAGCGUGGGUAGCAAACAGGAUUAGAUACCCUUGUAGUC
rnacentral:rRNA from 1 species